UGCUAGUGCACACUCUGCAACUAGAUGGA
rnacentral:piRNA from 1 species